AGGGCACCACCAGGAGUGGAGCCUGCGGCUUAAUUUGACUCAACACGGGGAAACUUACCCGGCCUGGACACUGGAAGGAUUGACAGAUUGAGAGCUCUUUCUUGAUUCAGUGGGUGGUGGUGCAUGGCCGUUCUUAGUUGGUGGAGCGAUUUGUCUGGUUAAUUCCGAUAACGAACGAGACUCUAGCCUAUUAAAUAGGCUCUCGGCUUUUAAACGCCGGGAGGACUUCUUAGAGGGACAGGUGGCGGUUCAGCCGCACGAAAGAGAGCAAUAGCAGGUCUGUGAUGCCCUUUGUUGUCCGGGGCCGCACGCGCGCUACACUGAAGAGAUCAGCGUGCUUUACGUUCCUGCUCCAACCGGAGUGGGGAACCCAGUGAACCUUCUUCGUGAUUGGGAUAGAAGAUUGUAAUUAUUCUUCUUGAACGAGGAAUUCCCAGUAAAUGCGAGUCAUAAGCUCGCGUUGAUUACGUCCCUGCCCUUUGUACACACCGCCCGUCGCUACUACCGAUUGAACGGUUU
rnacentral:rRNA from 1 species